rnacentral:rRNA from 1 species
GAUGAACGCUGGCGGCGUGCCUAAUACAUGCAAGUCGAACGAAACUUCUUUAUCACCGAGUGCUUGCACUCACCGAUAAAGAGUUGAGUGGCGAACGGGUGAGUAACACGUGGGCAACCUGCCCAAAAGAGGGGGAUAACACUUGGAAACAGGUGCUAAUACCGCAUAACCAUAGUUACCGCAUGGUAACUAUGUAAAAGGUGGCUAUACUACCGCUUUUGGAUGGGCCCGCGGCGCAUUAGCUAGUUGGUAGGGUAAAGGCUUACCAAGGCAAUGAUGCGUAGCCGAAUUGAGAGGUUGAUCGGCCACAUUGGGACUGAGACACGGCCCAAACUCCUACGGGAGGCAGCAGUAGGGAAUCUUCGACAAUGGGCGAAAGCCUGAUGGAGCAACGCCGCGUGGGUGAAGAAGGUCUUCGGAUCGUAAAACCCUGUUGUUAGAGAAGAAAGUGCGUGAGAGUAACUGUUCACGUUUCGACGGUAUCUAACCAGAAAGCCACGGCUAACUACGUG